AAAUAGCUUUUAACGAGUGUUAAACGAUCAUUGCUUUUGUUAAAAUACAGUAGAGCCAUGGUGGGUGGGCAAUAGCUUUGCCUAAGAGUUACGAACACACUUUUUCCUUUGACAAUGAUAAGCUUGCCGUUGAGUUGAAAAAGGCCAUAGUAUGUUGGUCAAAAUAAUUUUUGAUAUGCUGAUAGAAAGAAAUUUGGAUGUUAGAGGGCUAUCCAAAGAGUCAUUGGAGAUGCUGUCUGAGAUGUUGCUUGAGAACGAGCUAUCAAAAGGAGAUGUAGGACUUGCUUAUCUAUUAUUCCAUUAAUAACAGUAAUGUUUCCUCUAAAAAAUAUAUUUUCCAAUCAAUUUUGUUGGACCUGGCGGUAUUACAUAUAUACAAUUGGCUGCUUGCACUUAA